rnacentral:lncRNA from 1 species
GUAAAACGCUUGCCGAAGUGGGGCGUCCGUUUGGCUGUGCGGGAUGUAUCAAGUUCGCAGUCACGUCCGGUCAGAAGGGGGACGUUAAAUCCGAUGCCUCGUGUAAAGAGAGUGCCACGCUCUUUGCACGUUAAGAACCCUUGCAACAACUCUUUUGAGGGGUCCGUAGGUGGCCUGUUGCAAGGCAAAAUUUCUGUCCCUAUCCAAGAUACCCUCAUUUUCCAGUGGCAGUCCAAAUUUCCCCGACCAUCAUCCCAGAUGGCCUCUAUCGUAUCAACCUACCUAUUGUAUUUAUUGUGAACGUGUUCUCGUCC